ensembl:lncRNA
AUCUGCUGCGGGCCGCGCAGCGCCGUGGGAUGCGACUCCCUGGCCUCCGUGGGAUGCGCCGCGUGUCUCCGCCGUUUCGCGGUGGAAUCCGCGGCGGCUAUCCGGGAUGUUUCGGAUUCUGGUAGGGCUCGCCCGGCCCCUCCGGGCCCGCAGGGCGCUGGCUCGCGGGCCAACACCGCCAUCUGGUGCUCAUGGUCAGCAUGUGCGGGCCUUGCCGGGAGACCGGCCGGGUGACGUCAGGGUCCGCGUUUGCUCCGGAGCGGGCUCUGCGGCAGGGUCCGCAUCGCCCGGAGAUUUUACCGCAGUUUGUCUUGUAAAGGAGUCAUCGUGCCAGAGGCUUCUCCAUAGGACCCAGCUUCUGCAGAUGCCUCCAACUGUCAGACUUAAGUAGCAUUCAGCUGGUAACACAGUCUGAAAAAGGUGGUUUGCAAGCUUCCAGUCCUGGAGGUGAGAAGGAAAGGAAGGUAGACCAAGGCACAGAGAUUUCCUACAGAAUCUCUUCCAGAAGCUGAAACUGGCAAAUGUGAUGGAAUGUACUAGGAGGAAAGUCUUUGGCUGAAUGGGAAUGAAUCACUGAUGCUGUUGCUGUUCAGUCGAUAAGUCAGGUCCAACUCUUUGAGACCCAUGGACGGCAGGACACAGGCUUCCCCAUCCUUCGCAUCUCCCAGAGUUUGCUCAGAUUCGUGUCCAUUGAGUUGGUGAUGCCAUCCAGCCAUCUCGUCCUCUGCCACCCACUUCUCCUCCUGCCGUCAAUCAUUCCCAGCAUCAGGAUCUUUUUCGAUGAGUCGGCUCUUAGCAUCAGGAGGCCCAAGUACUGGAGUUUCAGCUUCAGCCACAGUCCUUUCAAUGAAUAUUCAGGGUUGAUUUCUUUAAGGAUUGACUGGUUUGAUUUUGCAAUCCAAGGGACUCUCCAGAGUCUGAGACUCUUAUCGAUAGUGACACAAUAGUCUUAUUAAUAGUGACACGGAAAACUAAGAGAGCAAUAACAAUGUGAAGAUACGUCAGCUAUGAACUCCAGGAGAAGCGAAAGGUUCGACGAUAAAGGAAAUAUAAUCACUGUGUGAAGAUACGUCAACUAUGAACUCCAGGAGAAGCGAAAGGUUCGACGAUAAAGGAAAUAUAAUCACUGUGUGAAGAUACGUCAACUAUGAACUCCAGGAGAAGCGAAAGGUUCGACGAUAAAGGAAAUAUAAUCACUGUGCUUGACUAGGUUCAACUGUGAAUUAUGCAUCUGUGGUCAGAAUAAUAUAAACUUCUAAUAUGAAUUUACCAAAAAAAAAAUAUAUAUAUAAUUGUAUUGGGAUGAUGGGGCAUGUGAAAUAGGCAGGUGUGAGUUUGAGCUCCAAAUCUUCAUCCCCCCAUGGUAGAAAUUCAACACAUGUAUUAAAACCUAGGAGAGAAAAGCAAGAUGUAGCAGUAUAAGGUGGUCAUGUGUGUGUUUGAAGCUUUGUCCUCAAGGAGACAACUGAAUAGUUAGAACAGGGAGUGGGAUCUAAAUGAGGGUGAGGCAAUGACACUGUCCUUUGGGGUGAUAAGCUCUUGGGAAUUAUAUCAUUUGUUUUCCUUUAAAAAACAAAAUGUAGCAUGUUUUUGAUUUCAUAUAUAAGGAAACCUCCCCACCCCCAACCCUUCACUUCUCAUAGAGUAUGCAUUGUACACACAAAUUUAUGGUAAUGAUGAAAAGAAAAUGCAAUUACUGUCAGAGUAAAGCAAUGCUUGACAGCCCUGAAUGGCAUGAUUUAUUUAUGGAAGGAAAGUUGACUGGGCAGGAACUAAUUAUUAUCUUUAACCAGUAUUCUUUACCAUAAAUUCAUAUCAGCUUAGUCGUACUUUGGGUGAGCAAUGGAGAUUCCAAAUAUGCAGCGUUCUGUUUCAGAUUACCUUGCCAUGACAAGAUUGUUAAUUAGGUAACUUUGAAAUCUAUGUUAAUUCUUUGACACUGAAUUUUAUCUGGAGGAUGACAUUUACCAAUCACCAAAUGUCUACCUCUUAUAAUCAGGUAGGUUCUAUUCUGGCCAAUAGGCUAUGCGUGGGAGUGAUUCGAGUCCCUUCUCAACGAAAGCACUUAGGAACCAGGGUUCAACUUGCCAGCCCUCUGUCCCCAACCUUGGUGAUUGUGGAGAAGAGCUUUCCAAGGUGGCGGCUGCCUCCUGGGUUGCUGAGUCAACCCGGGGCGGGUGGAUACCCUGAGAGUCUCUCAUCAUCUAGUGCCCCUUAAGUGAUUGAGAAAUAAGCUGUUACUGUUUUCACCCCUGAGAUUUCAGCAUGCAUGUGUUACUGAAACAGUCCAGUCUAUCUGACACAAUGUUCUUUGAUACACUGUUUAUAGAUAUCACUUUCUAAUCCACCAUCAUAAAUCCAUCACCCCAUGUAUUUAAGGCAUGUUUCUAAUGGGAGCAAUGGGUCUAGGCUGAGUCCCACGCACUCCCCGCAUCCCGCCCCCCUGAGGCUCCUAGGAUGACUUUCUUUAAGGUGGUAGCAGGAGGAGGAGGAGGAGGAGGAGGCAGGUGGUCACGUGACGAAUCUUGGGUUCGUGUGACAUUAACUCACCAAGGAGGGAACUGGGCCCAUAAAGGAGCAUCCCUUGUGUUCUAGCUGACAGCCCACCAAGGGAACAGAAUAAGAGGGGUUAGACUGUUUAGACUGAGUCAAACAUUUCAAUCAAUCAAUCAAUAAUAUUAAUUCAAAGCCUGCUAAGUUCAGCAUGUUGAGCCAAGCACAACAUCAGACUGAAAUGAAUGAGAGAUAAUGUUUGUUUCCCCCAACAGAGGAAAGAACUGCUGUGAGAAAGGAAUGCUCAAUGUUUCUGUAAAACAGCAUCUCAACAAAUACCCAACAAUAUACCUCAAAUUUCCACACCCCUGUAUUUUUAGCUAAUUUGCUUCUUGAUGCUUCAUCUCAAGUACAUUGUAACAGUCUGAUUGCAGAACCCAUGGCUCACCUGUUUCUUUUGGAUUUUUUUUUUUAACUUCUGCAGAAUCCAUGGUAGAACCUGGUUCUACUGAGCGCUUCCCAAUGGAGUGCAGUUUCAUCCUUGUGGGAGCUCAUGGAAGGGCAGGGCAGGAGUGGAAAUCUUGUUUAAAAAAAAUUUUUAAUGUAAUCCCAGGAGAUGGGGUGUGGGUGAAAUGGGGAAAGGGUGUUGAAAGGUACAAAUUUGGGGUUAUAAAAUAAAUAAGUCAUGGGGAUGUGAUGCA